rnacentral:lncRNA from 1 species
UGGGAAUUCCUGAUGACAAAGUUGCACAUAGAUUGAUUGAACUGAACUUCUAGAUGAUCUAUUUCAACUGGAAGAGGUAGAUGAGAAAGCAGGGACAAUGUAAUAGAGCACAUAGCAUGAGGCUUGAUUAUUUGCUCGUGAAAAGCAACUGAAGCCAGGAGAACAGGUCUCAGAGGACUGACAAGGUCAAUCUCAAGAUGAAGAGGGCUAUCAGUGGCUAAUUUGAAUCCAUUUCCUCCGAUAGAUGAUAAAAGCUCGGCUUCACGACAGAGAAGAGUAAAGAUUUCUUGAUGUAUACUUUCUCUUCCUGAAAAGGUUGCAGGACCUCCAGGGCCAUAAUUUUUGUUUUUCAAGUUCCCAGAAUCGUCAUAAGAUGUUACAGGCAGUACAACCAUUUCAAGGGACAACUCUACAAAAUCUUUCAAUGCACCAAGGUUUCUCGAACACUCUCGCAAAUAACCCAACACCUCCCAGAGCAAAGUUACCCAACCUUCUUGUCUGUAAAAGUUUGCAGCAAUAUCGAAAUAUUUUUUUGCGUUGUUGGGAUCAGCCAAAUCAAAGUACUCCCGGCCUACUUCAAAUGCACAACGAGCAGC